CACAAACCUAGGAAUAAAAUUAGAAAAUAUAUGAGCGUAUAAAGAUUAGACAUAUUAGUCACAGACAAAUGAGAUUUGGAUAUAAGAGAGCAGGAUUCAUAACACUCGCCAUAAUCAGUGCUAAACAGUCAGUAACUCAUUUGUUCACACGAAAACGCAAUUUCCUCGCAGACUUUCGACAGGCCAAAGAUAGCAUCGGGAUGUCGUUGUACGGUAUCGUUGCUAUUGUUCUCCUUGUUUCUCUUGCCGUGGUCGGUAGUGCUUACGCAGAAGAUGACGAUGAGGAUUGUUGGUGGUGGAGCACUUGCUCGUAUUGUAAAAAAUAAUCAUGGACUAUUUGACAAACUAUUUACCGAACUGUUUGAUAAGAAAGGCUGACCCGUCACAAAAACACACAACACAAAAUGUAUCCGCUCGACCAUAAAAUUAAGAUAAAAUAAACGUUUAAUGUUAAUAUGAUACCAGUUCUGCUUGGAUUUUAUAGGAUCCGAAUUGAACUGGUUUUGAAAACUAACCCCGGUUCUCACGCCCCCCCAUUACUUAGAAAUAAUCGUGGACCUAAAAUAAACCCUGUAAACACUUUUUUAUACCGUAAUUUCCAGAAGUUUCAUCAUUGAUCUAAUUUUUCCACAUCUUGAAAGGUUUGUACCUUGUUCUUACUUCAAACGCUUUACCAAGGACGAAAAGUUGUGUAGGAACAUUCUAAAUGCAAAAGAAAAAUCUGAAUCAUGUAAAAAAAAAUUGAGAGACGAUCUAAAUAUUGAUAAUAAGUUUAGUUGAGACUGUGUUUUGGAACACUUAGGACAUUAGAUUUAAUUUUAGCUGAACUAAAAAGUAACUGUACAGUUUUAGAAACUUUCGCAUGAAAAUAAAAAUGAUUGUACAGCUGUGGAAGGUCACGAUUUGGUCGAGCAGGCUGCAGCAUAUCCUGUUCAUGUUUCACGUGUUUCGCACCGAGCAUGGGUAUGACGGCGGUUAAAAACGCCUUCAACCCGCCGGAUGUGUUUCCCAACAUUACACUCCGUCAUGUAUAGUUGCAUCCCACAUUCCAAAAUACGCGUGAUGAAUGAUUCGCAUGACGCCUGAAGAGAGACUUUUGAUGUAUGCUUCCAUUUUUAGCAGCACGGCAUUCCCAUUCAUCAUUAAAGACGGAUUUCAGUUUCAUUCUUUUUGACGCACAUUAUAAAGAGUAUUUUAAUAAAAUAUAUGAAAAUGUAUUUUACAAAAAGUUUGUCACAAUAGUGACCAUUUGGUUUAAAAUCCUUAAAACCUACUAAACAGCGUUUUUGUUUCGCAAGGAACAAGCUGCUAUUAGGACAUAUAAAAAAUCAAGUAAAUAAAUGAAAAAUCAAAGUAAAUGUUGAGUAAGUUAUGUUUGCUUAGAGCUCGAAACAGCAGUUUUGAAACUUACGAAAUCAACCUAACAUCACUGCGUUGCUUAGAUAAUCUCAGAUAAUUUUUUUUUUGUUAUUUGUAAAAGCUGUAUUCAAUUAAUUUAAAGAUUAAAAGGAUAUAAACUGAUGUAUUACUUAUUGCUUCCAAAGUUUACAAUCACCCUUUUCCUUUAUUUUCGAGCUUAAAAUAUAUACAUUUAUUGAAUAAUCAGAAGAAAAAAAUUACACGUGAAGGAAUCCGAUCAAGGAUGGGUCUGUGUGUAGACCAGCUGAGUGACUUGUAUGUACGACACACUGCGUUAUAGCUCUGCAGGUCGAUUAUUGAGAUUGAUAGACAAAGCUAUAGACAAAGAAAAAAUUAUAUGGAGGGGUCCUAUUGAUGGAAGCGGGUAAU
rnacentral:lncRNA from 1 species